rnacentral:rRNA from 1 species
UACGAAGGGGGCUAGCGUUGCUCGGAAUUACUGGGCGUAAAGCGCACGUAGGCGGAUUGUUAAGUCAGGGGUGAAAUCCUGGAGCUCAACUCCAGAACUGCCUUUGAUACUGGGAAGCUCGAGUCCGGGAGAGGUGAGUGGAACUCCGAGUGUAGAGGUGAAAUUCGUAGAUAUUCGGAAGAACACCAGUGGCGAAGGCGGCUCACUGGCCCGGUACUGACGCUGAGGUGCGAAAGCGUGGGGAGCAAACAGG